GACAUGGGAAGCUUGCUUCCUAUGAAAUCGAGUGGCAAACGGGUGAGUAACGCGUAAACAACCUGCCCUUCGGAUGGGGAUAACAGCCGGAAACGGCUGCUAAUACCGAAUACGAUCUUUUCGUCGCAUGACGGAAAGAAGAAAGGAUGGCCUCUAUACAAAGCUAUCGCCGAAGGAGGGGUUUGCGUCUGAUUAGCUGGUUGGAGGGGUAACGGCCCAACAAGGCGAUGAUCAGUAGCCGGUCUGAGAGGAUGAACGGCCACAUUGGGACUGAGACACGGCCCAGACUCCUACGGGAGGCAGCAGUGGGGAAUCUUCCGCAAUGGACGAAAGUCUGACGGAGCAACGCCGCGUGAGUGAAGAAGGUCUUCGGAUUGUAAAACUCUGUUAUACGGGACGAAAAAGACGGAUGCCAACAGUAUCUGUCCGUGACGGUACC
rnacentral:rRNA from 1 species